rnacentral:lncRNA from 1 species
GGAAGACUUGAGGGCUGAGAAUGAAGAGCUUGUGCUGACUUAUCUUUUUAUUUUUUUCAGAUGGGUGUCUAUUUGUUGGUGUUUUCUCUUCUUACAGGAAGACCUGAAAGCUGGAAAGAUCAAUCAGGAGGCCAUGUCUGGACCAAAGAAGAGGAGAAUGGUGAGGCCACAAUAUACCAGACAGGAGAAGGGGGGCUGACUCUGGGCUUCAUGGAAAAUUCCUAGAGAAGGAAAAUAAAUUUUUCAUUGAGAAAGCAAUGCUUUCCUGGAGGAAAAUUUCACAUCCCUGAAGACAACAAAAAAGAAAAUUCAGAGAAAUAUUCAACCCUCAAUUAAAAUGGACAAGAAGCAACAAAAAAUGUGAAAUGAAAACAUUAUCACUUUUAAAACAACAC